GUUUUGUUGUUAAAUAUAGAUAUUUAAGUAAACAAGAGUGCACACACUGAAAUGUCUCGCCUUAUUUAUUAAUCAUAGAUAUUAUGUUGAUAGUUAUGAAUAUAAAGCUUUACAUUACAACUGUCACAUAAACAUAAUAUAAACCAAAAAAACUAAACAUUGACCUUGAACAUGAAAAUGAGGUCAAGGUCAGAUGAACCAUGCCAGGCAGGCAAGUACAGCUAACAAUUCUUCCAUACAUCAAAUAUAGUUGACCUAGCUAUUGCUGAUAGUUUAAGAAAACAGACCAAAACACAAAAACUUAACAUUGAGCAAUGAACCGUGAAAUUGAGGACAAGAUCAAAUAAAACCUGCGCGACUGACAUAUAGAUCAUAAAAUAAUUCCAUACACCAAAUUAAGUUGAAACUAUGCAUACAUGUAGUUAGAAAAAAGAAACUCAAAAACUUAACUUUGACCACUGAACCAUGAAAAUGAUGCCAAGGUCAGAUGACACCUACAAGCUAGACAUGUCCACCUUUCACUCAUUCCAUACAACAAAUAUA
rnacentral:lncRNA from 1 species